UAGCUCAGUGGUAGAGAGCGUGCUUUGCAUGCAUAAGGUCCUGGGUUCAAUCCCCAG
rnacentral:tRNA from 1 species